rnacentral:rRNA from 1 species
GACGAACACUGGCGGCGUGCUUAACACAUGCAAGUCGAACGGAAAGGCCCUGCUUUUGUGGGGUGCUCGAGUGGCGAACGGGUGAGUAACACGUGAGUAACCUGCCCUUGACUUUGGGAUAACUUCAGGAAACUGGGGCUAAUACCGGAUAGGAGCUCCUGCUGCAUGGUGGGGGUUGGAAAGUUUCGGCGGUUGGGGAUGGACUCGCGGCUUAUCAGCUUGUUGGUGGGGUAGUGGCUUACCAAGGCUCUGACGGGUAGCCGGCCUGAGAGGGUGACCGGCCACAUUGGGACUGAGAUACGGCCCAGACUCCUACGGGAGGCAGCAGUGGGGAAUAUUGCACAAUGGGCGGAAGCCUGAUGCAGCAACGCCGCGUGCGGGAUGACGGCCUUCGGGUUGUAAACCGCUUUCGCCUGUGACGAAGCGUGAGUGACGGUAAUGGGUAAAGAAGCACCGGCUAACUACGUG